rnacentral:rRNA from 1 species
UACGAGGGGGGCGAGCGUUGUUCGGAAUUAUUGGGCGUAAAGGGUGCGUAGGCGGUUCCGCAAGUCCUGUGUGAAAUCUUCGGGCUCAACUCGAAGUCUGCACGGGAAACUGCGGGGCUUGAGUGUGGGAGAGGUGAGUGGAAUUCCCGGUGUAGCGGUGAAAUGCGUAGAUAUCGGGGAGGAACACCUGUGGCGAAAGCGGCUCACUGGACCAUAACUGACGCUGAUGCACGAAAGCUGGGGGAGCAAACAGG